ensembl:snRNA U6 U6 spliceosomal RNA
GUGCUCGCUUUGGCAGCACAUAUACUAAAAAUUGGAACGAUACAGAGAAGUUUAGCAUGGCACCUGCGCAAGGAUGACACGCAAAUUCGUGAAGCAUUCCAUAUUUUU